rnacentral:rRNA from 1 species
GAAUCAACGCUGGCGGCGUGCCUAACACAUGCAAGUCGAACGGGAAACCCGCCUUCGGGCGGGGAGUAGAGUGGCGAACGGGUGAGUAACGCGUGGGUGAUCUGCCCUUCAGAGGGGGAUAACCGCCGAAAGGGGGGGCUAAUACCGCAUGAGCCUGCAAGGUCGAAGCUGCAGGGAAAAGCGAAAGUUGCUGAAGGAGGAGCCCGCGUCCGAUUAGCUAGUUGGAGAGGCAAGAGCUCCCCAAGGCGACGAUCGGUAGCCGGUCUGAGAGGACGGACGGCCACACUGGGACUGAGACACGGCCCAGACUCCUACGGGAGGCAGCAGUGGGGAAUUUUGGGCAAUGGGCGAAAGCCUGACCCAGCAACGCCGCGUGGAGGACGAAGAUCUUCGGGUCGUAAACUCCUGUCCGAAGGGACGAAGACAGUGACGGUACCUUUGGAGGAAGCCCCGGCUAACUCCGUGCCAGCAGCCGCGGUAAUACGGGGGGGGCAAGCGUUGUUCGGAAUUACUGGGCGUAAAGGGCGCGUAGGCGGUUUCGGCAGUCAUGGGUGAAAGCCCCCGGCUCAACCGGGGAAUGGCCUGUGAAACCACGGGACUGGAGUGCUGGAGAGGGAAGCGGAAUUCCCAGUGUAGCGGUGAAAUGCGUAGAUAUUGGGAGGAACACCGGAGGCGAAGGCGGCUUUCCUGGACAGACACUGACGCUGAGGCGCGAAAGCCAGGGGAGCAAACGGGAUUAGAUACCCCGGUAGUCCUGGCUGUAAACGAUGAACACUUGGUGUGGGGGGUAGGACGAGUCCCUCCGUGCCGGAGAUAAUUCGAUAAGUGUUCCGCCUGGGGAGUACGGCCGCAAGGUCUGAAACUCAAAGGGAUUGACGGGGGCCCGCACAAGCGGUGGAGCAUGUGGUUUAAUUCGACGCAACGCGAAGAACCUUACCGGGGAUUGAACUGCUCGGGCAAUCUACAGAGAUGUAGAGUUUCCUUCGGGAACCCGGACAGAGGUGCAGCAUGGCUGUCGUCAACUCGUGUCGUGAGAUGUUGGGUUAAGUCACGCAGACUAGCGCAACCCUUG